GCAUCCGUGGCCUAAUGGAUAAUGUACCGGCCUCCUAAGCCGGGGAUUGCGGGUUUGAGUCCCGCCGGAGGUU
rnacentral:tRNA from 1 species